rnacentral:rRNA from 1 species
GUGGGGAAUACUGGACAAUGGGCGAAAGCCUGAUCCAGCCAUGCCGCGUGUGUGAAGAAGGUCUUCGGAUUGUAAAGCACUUUAAGUUGGGAGGAAGGGCAGUAAGUUAAUACCUUGCUGUUUUGACGUUACCGACAGAAUAAGCACCGGCUAACUUCGUGCCAGCAGCCGCGGUAAUACGAAGGGUGCAAGCGUUAAUCGGAAUUACUGGGCGUAAAGCGCGCGUAGGUGGUUUUGUAAGUUGGAGGUGAAAUCCCCGGGCUCAACCUGGGAACUGCCUCCAAAACUGCAUGACUAGAGUACGGUAGAGGGUAGUGGAAUUUCCUGUGUAGCGGUGAAAUGCGUAGAUAUAGGAAGGAACACCAGUGGCGAAGGCGACCACCUGGACUGAUACUGACACUGAGGUGCGAAAGCGUGGGGAGCAAACAGGAUUAGAAACCCCGGUAGUCC